rnacentral:rRNA from 1 species
AAUCAACGCUGGCGGCGUGCCUCAGACAUGCAAGUCGAACGCGAAAGUCCCCUUCGGGGGACAAGUAGAGUGGCGCACGGGUGAGUAACACGUAGGUAAUCUACCUUUGGAUGGGGAAUAACAACCGGAAACGGUUGCUAAUACCGCAUAAUGCAGCGGCACCUAAUGGUGACAGUUGUUAAAGCGGGGGAUCGAAAGACCUCGCGUCUAAAGAGGAGCCUGCGGCGGAUUAGCUAGUUGGAAGGUAAUGGCUCACCAAGGCUACGAUCCGUAACCGGCCUGAGAGGGCGGUCGGGUCACACUGACACUGACAUACGGGUCAGACUCCUAC